CCUGGCGCGCGCGGUGGUCCCACCUGACCCCAUGCCGAACUCAGAAGUGAAACGCCGUAGCGCCGAUGGUAGUGUGGGGUCUCCCCAUGCGAGAGUAGGGAACUGCCAGGC
rnacentral:rRNA from 1 species